GACGUAGGGCGCGAGCGUUGUCCGGAUUUAUUGGGCGGAAAGAGCUCGUAGGCGGCUUGUCGCGUCGUCCGUGAAAACCUGGGGCUCAACCCCAGGCUUGCGGUCGAUACGGGCAGGCUAGAGUUCGGUAGGGGAGACUGGAAUUCCUGGUGUAGCGGUGAAAUGCGCAGAUAUCAGGAGGAACACCGGUGGCGAAGGCGGGUCUCUGGGCCGAUACUGACGCUGAGGAGCGAAAGCGUGGGGAGCGAACAGG
rnacentral:rRNA from 1 species